AUUUAGAGGAAGUAAAAGUCGUAACAAGGUCUCCGUUGGUGAACCAGCGGAGGGAUCAUUACAGAGUUAUACAACUCCCAUACCAUCUGUCAACCUACCCAGCUAUGCCUCGGCGUAAGCUCGGCCGGGGGCGGUCCGGCGCUACCCUGUAGCGGCGGCCGCGCCACCUCGGCCGCGCCCGCCGGCGGUACACUAAACUAUGUUUUACUUUACCUUCUGAGCGUCUUAUUUUAAUAAGUUAAAACUUUCAACAACGGAUCUCUUGGUUCUGGCAUCGAUGAAGAACGCUAGCGAAAUGCGAUAAGUAAUGUGAAUUGCAGAAUUCAGGGAAUCAUCGAAUCUUUGAACGCACAUUGCGCCCAUCAGUAUUCUGGUGGGCAUGCCUGUUCGAGCGUCAUUUCAACCCUUAAGCCUAGCUUAGUGUUGGGACUCUACUGUACUGUAGUUCCCCAAAGACAGUGGCGGAGCGGCAGUGGUCCUCUGAGCGUAGUAAUUCAUUUCUCGCUCCUGUCAGGCCCUGUCCUCCCGCCGUAAAACCCCCAUCUUUUAGUGGUUGACCUCGGAUCAGGUAGGAAUACCCGCUGAACUUAAGCAUAUCAAUAAGCGGAGGAAAAGAAACCAACAGGGAUUCCCCUAGUAACGGCGAGUGAAGCGGGAACAGCUCAAAUUUGAAUCUGGCCAUUGGGUCCGAGU
rnacentral:rRNA from 1 species